rnacentral:tmRNA from 1 species
GGGGGUGUACUGGUUUCGACNNNNNNNNNNUUGUGGGCGGUCAGGUAAGCGAGCCGUGGACCCGAGCCACGUUAAAAUCGGGAAAUUAAAAAUUAACUGACAAUAACGAUUAUUGCCUCGCGGCCUAAUUAGGCUGCGCGUCGGCCCGAUGAUCCCGCUGCAUCGGAAUCCGGCGUCAUUUAGCGGGCCAUGUUCUUGCCUAAGCUUUGCAGCAUGAACACAUAAUGAAGCUACUGAAUCCCUGAGCCUGUUCACGGGCGCUGGGAAGAGGGAAUGUUAAAACAUGAACUGCGCUCGGAGAAAACUUGGCUGUCGCUUUUUCGGACAGGAGUUCGAUUCUCCUCACCUCCACCA